GUAGUUAUGUCAGAAUAAUAUGAGUUAGCUUUAAGCGCUAAUUAUGGGUAUAAGCCCUAACUACU
rnacentral:tRNA from 1 species